UAGGGAAUCUUCCGCAAUGGACGCAAGUCUGACGGAGCAACGCCGCGUGAGUGAAGAAGGAUUUCGGUUCGUAAAACUCUGUUGUUAGAGAAGAACAGCGCAUAGAGUAACUGUUAUGCGUGUGACGGUAUCUAACCAGAAAGCCACGGCUAACUACGUGCCAGCAGCCGCGGUAAUACGUAGGUGGCAAGCGUUGUCCGGAUUUAUUGGGCGUAAAGCGAGCGCAGGCGGUCAAUUAAGUCUGAUGUGAAAGCCCCCGGCUCAACCGGGGAGGGUCAUUGGAAACUGGUUGACUUGAGUGCAGAAGAGGAGAGUGGAAUUCCAUGUGUAGCGGUGAAAUGCGUAGAUAUAUGGAGGAACACAAGUGGCGAAGGCGACUCUCUGGUCUGUAACUGACGAUGAGGCUCGAAAGCGUGGGUAGCAAACAGG
rnacentral:rRNA from 1 species